UCUUUCAGCCUCCGGAUUAGUUACAGGGGAUCCGUUUUAUAGCUUUUCUGUGUAGUAUUGAACACAGCGCCAUCUCGCCUUGAUCGAUGGAAGGUCCGUGAGCAUCGACUUGCUAUCGUUGGGCUCCGCAGUCGACGACUUUCCACCAGUAACCGGAAGAUGGCGUGUGCCGAUAUUAUACGGAAGGCUAUAUCUUGGAGUCCCUUGUCAAGUAGCUGCUGAAGAAUGUUGGUGCCAAUAUUUAAUACAAAAUUAUAUUUGGGAAUUUUCGGUGUCUCCUGUCCUUGGACUUGUUAAUAACUUGCAUUUUGAGUGUGCGACGGCGGCGUCAUCUAACGGACGAUUGAGGUCGUACUAGCUUUGUCCGUGACGUAGGCGUUGAAUUGGGCGAUUUAUAUAGUCCUGCGCCUGCGAGCUGCCGCAUUCCCCAGACAGCGCUCCGCCGAGCGGGUGUGUCCACACCUUCGAUUUUUAGUGUGAAUUUCGGGUGAGAAUUUGUCUUUACAAUGCGUUAUAGCAUUUUAAUCGUAAUUAUCAGUGUCGAUAUAUGUUGUCAUUGUUUUUCUUUUAGGCGGUUUAUAAGCGUGUGACCGGUGGCCCGCAACUCCGUCGCACGCGCCGCCAAAUCUUCGUAAAUUUUUAUUCUGGUGUGGUUUUGGUGUCCGUGGCGUGGACACGUUGCUCCGCCAUUUUGUCCCAGCGUCGUGGCAUCGACGUCAUCGUACGUUGGCCGCAUACGUGGCUUCUCGACCUCCGACAGGUGAGUCUUUUCAUAUGAUUUUGGGGAGUUAGGUUGUGCCUCCGCCCCUAGAGGUUUAAUUUACCCCUGUGCGUUUUGUCCGCAGGAGGUGUUUUGGGAAGGUGUUUUGGGGUGGCUGUUUUGCGAAGGUGUUUUGUGACGGCUGUUUUACGAAGGCUGUUCUGUUCUAUGACGGGUGUUUUGUACAGCUGUUCUGCUACUGCUACAGCUACAGCUUAUUGGUAGCUGCUUCUAGUCGGCUCGGCUUCCUUCCCGCCGCCGAGGGCAAACGAGCUAGGGAGGUUUUUAUAAUACCUUUCUUAUUUUUUUAAUAAUGCUUAACGAAUGACCAGUGGCCUUGAAUACCUGGAAUGUACCCUUAGGAUUUAAAAGUUCCAAAUACCUAUUUAUAUUUUUGUGUAACUUUGGUUCUCUUAGUAAUUAAUAAAUUUAAGUACUUAAACCCAUGUCUUACAUUUUAUUUCUUCAUACAUCCAUUUUUCAUCUUCAUCAUCAUCUCUUCAUUAAAUUUUAAACA